rnacentral:lncRNA from 1 species
CAAAAUAAUAUUAAAAUAGAAAAAAAAAUGUCUCAUUACUUCUAGCUUCGUAACUUGCCCUAGCCAUUUAGAUCUUGCUGAUUCACAGUGCAAUCAUAUCAUGCUUAUGUAUAUUUAGAACAACAACCGUUCUUUAAAUGACAGGGAUACAUAUCGAGGGAAAAGAUCAGAUUCAUUUGUAGCACGUAUAAAUUGAUGACAGAAGACAGUUCAAUUAAUUAGUUGUCUGCUGAAAAGGCUAGCCAUUUGCUGCAGAAUAAGGAGAUUCAACUGCAAGUCCCAUCACUUAAGAUAUGCCAAUGUAGAACCCGCAAAUCCUUCUGUCAGUCUUCUAUCAUUCAAUGCCAGCCGCUUAGGUAUCUUACCUAUUAAUGAAGUGAUCAAGUAUCUUUAACAGCAAAUCAUGUAUAUAGUUCUUGAUCUUUAGUAGUUGAAUAUUGAUGUAAUGAAGGAGAAAUAAAUGUUGGAUUUUGCUACCUGUAAAUAAAAAAUAUACAUAAUGGGAGUUAACUAGAAUUAUGAUGGAUGACGAUUUCUAAACACAUCUGAAGAGAAAAUUUAUCAAGCUGUAUUGAGUUCUAACUCGUCUUCAAAUGAGUGACAAUUUUUGUAUAUUGAUACUCAAAAUUACUCUUCUUUAUCCACUAUACAAUUUGACUAGAUCUUCAAGUUUCGCCGGUUGUCUAUCGAUUACUUAUUUUUAUCUUUUCUCGAUUUGCUCUCAAGUAAGAGGUUAUACGUUCAUAAGUUGAUACUUUAAUUGUUAGCGACGGAAAUCGUGUAAACCUUAUUUUCUUUGUUGAUUCACGUAGUUGCAUCUUUCCAUGCUUAGACCAAAAGCCACUAGUAGGAGAAAUAAAAGGGUAGAGAAUAAUAUGGCCAACUUUUCUGUCCUGUAAUGAUUUAUACUUUUGUCCUAUAUAUUACAAUAAAACAUUUUUAGGAUUUUUAAUAUAGUCCUAUCAAACUAGCUCGUCUCCCAAACAAAGAAAGCAAAGUAAAAUUAACAGACACCCAAUAAUGUCUUUUCACUCAAAUUACAUGACUUUUCAUCAAUAUAAUAAAGCAAAAGCAGAAGAGAUAACAUAGUAAAAAGCAGGAUUACAACUUUGUUAUAUCUAAUUCAAGACAAAGCAAAUACAUAUUAUAGGUGUAAGGGAUGCAUGCCCAGCAGCAGCAAAACAAGGCAUUUCCAUAAAUGCCCAAACCUUUGACAAAUAUUCCAAACCCAACCCCAAACUAGAACCCCAAUAACUAACUGCUUAACCCUUCUUGAAGCUUACCUGGUAUGCAUCUCUUACAUCCCAUCUUUUAUCUGAUUAAUAACAACAAAGCAAACCAAGGACAAAUAUGUAAAAACAGAACCAAGCUAAGGUUAAAAAGGUAAAUUCGGACCGCUACCCUCAAUUCCCCGCAAAGCAAUAAUGCUCUCCAAGUUUUGCACUUAAGGAGAGCAAAAUUGCUAAGCCUUUUGUUUGUUGUUGGCUUUCAGACUUAUUUACAUUUCUACCUUCCUCCGCCUCCGCCACGGCUGCCACCACCAUAUUCCUCCUCCUCCUCCACCACCACCACCAGAGGAGUCGCAACCAAUCAUAUUGCUACCAGGAAAAAGGAAAACUAUGAAAUGGCAGAGGAACAAUGAGAUGGAGAAAAUCUGGCCGAAGUUGGCUAAGCUAUCAAGAAAGUGAGACCAUACAAAGAAAAGUGAAUGUAGAUAUGAGAGGAGGGGCCAUUACGAGUCCCUUAUAAAGGCAAGAGUGUAGCUUUUUGGUUGAAUAUGAAACCCUUUUGAUUAUACACAUACAUAGAAGAAAGGGGGAGGGGGCUAGUGUAGUUUUAAAAUUGUAGUCUAGUCUGGUUAAGGGCAUGUUUGUGGGGAAUGUAG